rnacentral:rRNA from 1 species
GUGGGGAAUUUUGGACAAUGGGCGCAAGCCUGAUCCAGCAAUGCCGCGUGCAGGAAGAAGGCCUUCGGGUUGUAAACUGCUUUUGUACGGAACGAAACGGUCCUGGUUAAUACCUGGGGCUAAUGACGGUACCGUAAGAAUAAGCACCGGCUAACUACGUGCCAGCAGCCGCGGUAAUACGUAGGGUGCGAGCGUUAAUCGGAAUUACUGGGCGUAAAGCGUGCACAGGCGGUGCUGUAAGACAGGCGUGAAAUCCCCGGGCUCAACCUGGGAAUUGCGCUUGUGACUGCAGUGCUGGAGUACGGCAGAGGGGGAUGGAAUUCCGCGUGUAGCAGUGAAAUGCGUAGAUAUGCGGAGGAACACCGAUGGCGAAGGCAGUCCCCUGGGCCUGUACUGACGCUCAUGCACGAAAGCGUGGGGAGCAAACAGGAUUAGAUACCCCUGUAGUCC